UAGCAGUUGACCUUCCUGCAUCAUUUGAAAUGGCAGACAUUUCAUUCUUAUUACUUCUCCUGAUGUGCUUUACUAGUGUAAACAGUCAGAGCUUGGAGUUCAUCCCAUCAAGUCCUGCGACCAAAAAGCCUGGAGAAACUCUGAAUCUCUCGUGUAAAGGAUCUGGAUUUGAUUUUGGACAGUACAGCAUGCACUGGAUCAGACAGUCAGCAGGACAAACAUUAAUCUGGAUGGGGGUUAUCUGGUAUGACGCCAGUAAAACAGUGUAUGCUAAAAGUGUAGAGGGAAGAAUAGAGAUCACUAGAGACAAUUCAAACAGCAUGGUGUACCUGAAACUCUCUGGUCUGAUAACAGAAGAUACAGCUGUAUAUUACUGUGCGAGAGACACAAUGAUACAGAAGAGCACUGAGCUGUGGAAAAACAGGCCAGGGAGGAAAAUUAGAUUAAAAAUAAUAAAAUAACACCAACAGCAACAGCAGAUGGCGCUGCAGCACAGUACAACUCUGAGCCAAAGAAACAGACCAAAGACAUCUUAUCCUAGAGGAUGAUAUACUGCCCAAUAUCUACCUAUAUUUACCUAGAAUGUAAGCUAUUUAAAUGUCAUGAUUGCUGAUAGAUAUGAAUGACCUUAAGUGAAUAUAUAAGAAAAAACAAAUAUCAAGUUGAUUUAAAUGUGUUAUAUUGUUAAUGUCACAGAUGUCAAUGCUGUCUUCUGAAAGAAAAUAAAUGUAGACACUCAUUUACUGGGUUGCAUAUGCAGAAUUGUAUGCAAAUAUUCCUCCUCCUCCUCUUUAUUUGAGUUUUAAGAUGAAACGAAGCAGCUUGUUUUCACUCGUCUCAAACCAUGAUCUCUUCAUCUCUCUGGUUGUUUCUGCUGCUGGCAGCUGUUUCUCGUGUCCACUGUGUUGAACUGACCCAGACUGAUUCUAUGGUCUUAAGUCCUGGUCAGGUUUUGACACUGUCCUGUAAACUCUCUGGAUAUACAGUGUCUGACAGCAGCUACUGCACUGGCUUCAUUCGGCAGCCUGCAGGAAAAGCUCUGGAAUGGGUUGGAGAGAUAUGUGGUGGUGGUAGCACAUAUUACAGUGAUAAACUGAAAAGUAGAUUUCAAGUCACCAGAGAUUCUUCCAGCAACACAGUGACUCUUCAAGGACAGAAUAUGCAGACUGAGGACACAUCUGUGUAUUACUGCGCCAGAGACUCACAGUGACACAGAGCAGCUACUGUCUUGUUCAAAAACCACUCUAACACUCGGCACACAAAUAAACAGCUUCAUGCUAUCCUCAUUAAUUCUACUUAC